rnacentral:tRNA from 1 species
GAGGAUAUAGCUCAGUGAUAGAGCACAUGCUAAGCAUGCACGAGGUUCUGGGUUCAAUCCCCGGUACUGCCA